UCAGGUCUGGUGAAAAUGUACGUAUUUUAAUGGUUUCGGGAAUAGGCGCACAAAAAUGGCUCGCUAGCCCCACCUACAAUAUUACGAAAAUUCUGCCCCUGCACUACGUUUAUCGUAGACUCACGAAACUUACACAUACACAUAUGUAGCAUGGCAGGGCGGACAUAAAACUCCAUUGUAGCCCCCCCCUAAACCCAACAGGAAGUCCGCCAUUUUGUUUUGAAUGUGCAAAAUUAGUGCGAUUUUGCCCAUUUCCACAUGUCGUACUUUAACGAACUCCUCCUAGAGCUUUCAUCCGAUCAACUUCAAACUUGGUGUGUGUCAUCUUAACAUGUUAACGAUGAAAAGUUAUUAAAAGAAAAACUUUUCGUCAUAGGGCGUGGCCGUGGCGGGGCGGCCAUUUAAUGCGAUUCGCCACCGAAACAGGAAGUGGGUGUAACUCGAGCGUACGUUGUCCGAUUAGCUCGAAACUUUCCACGACUCAUCAGAGUCCGCCCCUGACGACAUCUACAUGCCGCUUUUGGCUCAAAGUCAUACCGCCCCCUAGUGGCAAGAGGAAGUAGGCCUAAAAGACAAGGUGCUAAACUUUAACGAACUCCUCCUUGAGAUUUCAUCAGAUCAACUUCAAACUUGGUGUGUGUCAUCUCAAGAUGUUGAAGAUGAAAAGUUAUUAAAAGA